CAAAGAAGAUUUGGAAGAUUUGGGCUUAUCACAAUAUUUAGGCAACUAGGGUAUUGUGUUAAGGGUAUUUAACCUGAUUACUUUGUGUAUAUCGAGGUUAGCCGUUUAUUGAUUAAAAAGCUAGAGCAAGAGGUUUGUUCUUGAGAGCUUAAGAAAGACGAGUACUCGAAGGUGUAGCUCGUGCUUUCUGUUUUGACAGAUUAGGAAUUGGUCCGUCUCUAGUCGUGUGUGGCUGAGAGUAAUUCGGAUUAAACAGAUCUAGGAAGAUUGUU
rnacentral:lncRNA from 1 species